UUCUAUACUUUUACUCCUAUACAUUUUCUGUUCGGCAUUUUCGUUACUUACUACAAAAAAAAAAACCUGUGUCCAAAUCUGCGGUAAAGGAAGUUUGUGGUUAGUGAUGACUUUAGGCCAUGUCCACACGUAGCUGGGUAUUUUUAAAAACAGAGAUUUUUCUUUGUUUUUAUUUAUUCUGUCCACACGACCUACGUGUUAAAAAUAUCUUUGUCCACAUGAAAACGCAAAACGCCCUGUUAAGUGCUUUCAGGAGCAUGCCUAGUUAAUCAGAAGCCAAGACAAAACUUUAUUACCGGUUCCGGUAGUUUAAUAACAAUGGCAUGUCGCGUGAAAGCGAUGCCCUUGACAUGCGAAAAUUUCAUUGUAGAAUGUAGAAGUCCAACCGGGUCUCAUCCAGAACUGCCAUUGCUGUGUGUGUUGUGGGACUUCUGUAUGCAGCAGCAGUGAGCUCCGUAUUACAUUCCGGCCCUCUGUUCAUGAACGUAAUGUGUGAGUAACAGCGCGUGUAUGUGCACGCAUGUAAAAAGUCCAGUAAGAAACGUUUUACGCAAGUUUAUGCAAGUCUGCUAUUGCACAAAAUAUCUUCAUAAACAAGGCUGACAUCAAAUCAAGGAGACGGGCACACAGACAAUGAUGUCAAUUUGUCAAAAUCUCUGUUUCCCCUGUCCACACAACACCACUCAAAACGGAGUUUUGGAAAAUCUUUACUUUGGAGUUUCCCAAAAGCUUCAUUUUCAACGACCUCAAACUGCAUUAGCAUGUGGACAAAAGGUCAAAACACAGAGAAAAAUCCCCGGCUACGUGUGGACAUGACCUUAGUUACAAGCGCACAUGUAUGGAAACACUGAUACUGUACACUUCAUUACAAUACAGUUCUAAAGGCCUCUCCUUUCUUUCAUGCAAGUCUUAAUUUUUGGAAGUGUAGGGGCGAUUUGCCUAUAGUGGAUCUGAGGAGGUGCACACUGGAUGUGUCGAUUUCAUUGCAGUUUCAUUUUACUUCAGAACAUUCAGAUACCCAACAGAAGGUGGUCUGACAUGAUGUCCAGUGUGAUCAACCUUGUUGUUGAUGAUAAUAAUGGGAACUAUUAAAAUUACACCAUAUUAUCCUUUCUCCUAUUCUAACACGUUUCAUUUUUCCCCUCUCACUCUCUGACAAUGCAAUGCAAAUUAGUGAGCUUAACUUCCUCUUAAAUGCACAUGAGAUAAGGCACAUGACAUUCAACAAGGUAUAGCAAUGUACCUGCCAGCACUCCCUCUGGUGGUCUGGUAGGGAAUUGUCCCUGACAGAUAUACACAUAUUAAACAUUUGUUUAUUUUCUGAAAACAGAGCCACUACAGGUGAUUAGUCCAGAAGCUCCUCUUGUUGCUGUAGCUGGUGAAGAUCUGGUUCUGCCCUGUUUCAUUAAACCCAACACUAAUGCUGUGGACAUGACUGUGGAGUGGUUGAGAGUAGAGAGAGUUUUUAGUUUGAUAGGGUUUUAUUAGUGCAUAGCUAUAAGGAUCAUGAAGACAAAAAUGAAGAUCAGGCUCAAUCCUACAAAGGAAGAACAUCACUGUUUAAAGAGGAGCUACAGAAAGGCAAUGCUUCACUCAAACUCUCAGCUCUCCAAGUCUCUGAUGCAGGAGAAUAUAAGUGUCUCAUUGAGGACAAAUCCUGGUAUGAUGACAUCACUGUUCAUGUUAUUGUUGAGGUUCUAGGAAGCCGCCCAGUGAUCAGGAUGGAGAGUUAUGAUAACUCAGGAGGGAUUAAUCUAGUGUGUGAGUCCAGAGGCUGGAACCCUGAACCUGAGGUUCUGUGGCUGGACAGAGAAGGAGCUACUCUGCCUGCUGAAGAUACACAGAUACACAGAGACACUGAGGGCUUCAGUGUGAAAAGACGCAUCACUGUUUAUGACUCCAACAGGUUUUACUGCAGACUUCAACAAAAACAUCACAUGAUGGAGGCAGAUAUUACCAUUAAUAGUGAAGUCUUUGGUGUUUGUAAGAGGCCUGUCUGCAUUGCAGUUUCAGCAUGUCUUGUUGCUGGAUUGCUAGUAACAUGUGUUUUUGGACUGAUACUAACUGCUUUUGGUUACAAGAAAGGUAAUAUCAAUCAUUUUCCUCAGUAACAUGUUUAACUUUAAUUAUACUGCAGUUUUACCUUUUUUAUUUUUUGUCCACACAGAUUCCCAACUGUGUUCCUGGAGAAAUCCAGGACAUAAUCAUUUUACUGCUUUAAUGCUCUCACUUUAAUUCAGGAAGGACUGUAAUUUUUCAGGGUUUUCCUGUCCUACAAGUAGUAAGACCCCAAGAAUAAAGAACCUGUGUUUUAUUCAGUAGUCCAGAGUUGCCCAUGCUGUCUGUAAAGAGUGAUUUAAAUCAGUAUGGACUCAAACUCUCACCUCAAUCUUUUCAUCUAUUCACUUCUAUUCCCACAAGCUCUUUCUACAAAAGUGAAAGGAUACUUCAUUAAUAAAAAAUAACUGGGAGAGUAUAGAGCCUCACCCUGUACAUCAGAAUGUUGUUAUAUGAGGCAGAAUAAUUAUUUAACAUAAUCAAGCUCACACUACCACAUCUGAAAGAUAAUGUACUAAUGUACUAGAGCCCUUGUUCAGCAGCAGGCAUGGGCUGGAAGAACUAUGAGUAGAGAGCAUGUUGUUUUGUCUGUCAGCAUGCUAUACUGCUGCUAAUCCUCCACACUGCAUGGCUGAUGUUUUAGUAAUGUUAUAGUAAGGUGCUAGCAGACAAUAGUGAAACAGAUUGUUGUCAGCCAAUCUGAUUGUUACCAUGGCAACAUGCCCAGCUCCAGCUAGCUGUGGCAGAGCAAGAAUCAACAAAAUAUUCAAUAUUACUAACUACCAAUGAGUGCUGGUUAAUUGUUCAGUAUGUACUUAUGAACUAAUUAUUGGUUUUAUUACUGUUGACUAUUAACAUUAACAUAACCCUGCUUAGUCCCUGCAUACUCAUGUGCUAUCUAAGAAACUGUGAUUUAAAUGACUACAUCCGUUUACUGUUAGUGUGCAUAUAUUAUUUACUUGGUUACAACAAUUGUGUUAAAAAAGUGUUGGUUAUACAAACACGUCAGUCAUAGUACAUUAUAUUACUUACUGACAAAUUAAUUUAUUUUAGUUAGUUAGUUUGUUUAUAUGUUUUGUAAACAAAUGUAUAUAUUUUUUCCUCAGAACUUCAAAAAUACAAGCAAAAUGCAGACCUUCUAAAGAAGAGGUUAUUUGCAGUGGAUGUGACUCUGGAUCCUGAUACAGCUCAUCCUGAACUCACUGUGUCUGAUGAUGGAAAACAAGUGACACAUGGAGACACAUGACAGGAUCUCCCUGAUACACCACAGAGAUUUAAUGAUCUCUGUGUUCUGGGAAAGCAGAGUUAGGAAAGGAGAUUUUAUUAUGAGGUGCAGGUCAGAGGGAAAUCUGCAUGGACAUUAGGAGUUGUGAGAGAGAACAUUAACAGGAAGGAGUGGAUUCCACUGAGUCCUCAGACUGGAUUCUGGACUGUGGGGGGUCUUAUGAGGAGGGUCUGGUCUCCUUUUAUUUUAUCUCCUUUUAUUUAUCCUUUUAUAAGUCCAGCUCUCAUAUCUACUCUUUCACUGCUCAGUCUUUCACUGAGAAACUUUAUCCAUACUUCAAUCCUUGGUAUAGUGAAAAUGGUAAUUCAGCACCACUGAUCAUCUCUGCUGUUACUGAAUAAAUAUCUGAUUUAUAUUUUUUAACAUUUUGAACUUUUGUAAAUAAUGGAUUUAUUCAUCUCUAGACAUUUAGGAAUUUUAUAAAGACGCAUGAAUGUUACUGGAUUAUUUAGAGCUUAUGUGCUGUUAAUAUGAUUCCUGUCAUUAAAGCUGCCAUCUGUGCUACUUUCUAGCUCUCACUUGAGUUGAAUUUAGAGUGUUAACUAACAUUUUCUCCACCACUAAAAAUCACCACUUAUUGUAGUUGAGAAUCUGACACCUUGCCAGGUGUAUAUCUGUUAAUGAGGUGAGUUUUCAGGUUAGGAUGCUAUUUAAUGCUGUUUUAUGCCGUUUAUUUUCUCCACAUGAUGUCAGUUUUAGACCUGCAUUUCUCCACAGACCUGCAGUUUUAAUCUCAUCUGAAGAUAUGGAGGAUUCACUAACAUGGCAGUAGUUAGUAAUUGUGACUAAUGUGGCAUUUACAGAUUUGUUCUAUUUCUGGAUGUCUUGUUUGAAGAAAAUACAGGGUUUAUAAUAGUAAUAAUAAUAAUAAUACUAAUAAUAAUAUUAUUAUUAUUAUUAUUAUUAUUAUUAUUUUUAUUAGCAGUAGUAGUAGUCUAAUUAAAAGUUCCAUGUCUUUCUUUUUGUUGUAUAAUUUGUAAAUAUUCAAUUCAAUUCAAUUCAAUUUUAUUUGUAUGGCGCUUUUAACAAAGAGCAUUGUCUCAAAGCAGCUUUACAUGAGAAACUACAUAAGAAAACAACAAACAUAAAAAAAAAAAAACUUAAAAGCAAGCA